rnacentral:lncRNA from 1 species
AGACUUUUCAGUGCCAGGCAACCAUUGCGCUGUAGAGAAGUGGAACAACAUUCAUGGUACUGCUAUUGUUAAUCGAAAGAACUUUCUUUUGUUAACAUGGUACCCACUAACGUGUGCAUAUGCAUUUUUCUCCUGUAGUCCUAGAGGGAUAAAGACACAUAUAAUUACGAUGGAGGUGACAGGCCUGAAAAUGUGAGAAUUGAAGCAAUACAUUCCCUUGUAUAUAUGUUUUCUCUUUUGAAAUAUCUCAAUAGUUUUCCAAUUUGUUUCCUGUAAAUCUCAUAUUUUAAUACUCCUUAGACCUUAGUAAUGCAUAGGUGUAAUAUUUGUUGAUAUUGCAAUUUUGAAGGAUCUGCUUUUCUUGUAUAGAUCUAUUUUUUUAAUCUUGAAGGCAGUACGAGAGGCCCUAAUGACAUAUAUACAGUACUAACAAGAAUAUGGGGGCUUUCAUAACUUGAGGUAGCUUCCAUCUUCUUGUUGUGUAUUUAUUUUUCUUAGAUGAAAAUCUUACACCAAGAAGUGGGGUCUCUCAGAAAAUUAUCAUUGUUAUUCUCCUUUUCAUUGUUUGGGCUUUUUUUCUCAAUAUAUGCUUCUACAAAAAAAAUGUAGGUCGGCCCCAUGUUGCCACCGUGGCCGGUGACUCGGGUGGAUCCAAUCCCCCCGGCCUCCAGGGUCAUUGUGCCCUCUCUCCAUUACCUCCUUCGUCGCUGGAGGAUGCUGACGGGCUAAGCCUAGGGGGUCGACGAUGAUGGCGGAGGCUCCUGCCUUCACUGCAUCGGUGGAUCACGCGGAAUCUCUGGGCACAUGGAGCAUUGCCAAAACCAGCACCAGGGUGGCGCUCGGCUGACUCCCGACGUUGGUUCCACACAAACACAUGGGGAGGGGAACUAUAUGUUACAAUCUGAAAAUGGCUAAGGAGACAUCAGAUCUACCUUCUUGGCUCGGAGGGUGUCAUGGGUGGCGCACAACUCCCCCCUAUCGACAGAAACACAUGGGGAGGGGAACAGAACAGAGAGCGGGGCGGUUGGCGGGGGACUCCUCGGCGGUCCGUGGGGAAAUACAAUGUGAAGAAGAGAGUGCGACAUGACGAAGGUGAGAUGGGCGUUAUCUGGUUUCAAUGGAGAGGGCUCCAGUGAAAAAUGUCCCGUUAUGGCGGGAAACGAGUGGGGAGGUGAGGGUUCGGCAGGGAAAGAGAAGGGUGCGUCGUGGGUGUGGUUUUUUUUAAUUUGUUCGGCGCGCACUUGUUAGAGAUAACAUGGCCAAUAGUCUGGAUAACCAUAUUUCUUCCUCACAUAUGGAUAUGCAUGGAUUUGAAGAUACCCUAUUCUCGAGACGGUUGAAUUUUGGGGAUCCUGUUAGAUGUUCGUUUGAUGUACGUUCACACUCGAACGUAGGAGGGAGAAAUGAGCUUCCACUUUAGAAUUUAAUUAUUUUUUUGAUUUAUUUAUAUGCAUUGUAGUCCGUAGCAACGCACGGGCAUUCUACUGGACUGACAUAAAGUCAGUGAGUUCAAAAUUUCCAUGUUUAGUUUUGACUGAUGUUAUGGUUCUUCAUUGAGUUUUGUUCCAGGUAUUUACCUAGAUCCUUGAAAUGCUAUUCGUAUUGGCCUGAAUGCAGUUGAAUUCUGAAUCAUAAACAAGCUGGGAGAUUUGUCUUCCACAUAGUAGGUGCUGAUGCUUAUGAUUUUCUUCAAAAAAGAUAUGGGAAAGGCUAACCCAAUAUUUUAGUUUUCAUUAUGAGGACCAUGUACAUAAUCGACCAUAUAGUUCAAAAAAGAUCUAUUGGUGAAGGUUUGUUUGAGUUCCACUAUUUCAGUUCACACAUGUACAUGUUCUGUAUUUUUUGCAGUUUUUAGUGCAUGCUCGGAGAACAAGAUAAGAGGAGAGGCUUGAAUCUUGAGAUGACAAGGGUAGUCACCUGCUGCGACUAAAGGUUCAGUUUCAUACUUCUGAUGAUAUUGUUCGGAUGAUUGCCCUUGUACUAUUCUUUUUAGUACGUACUAAAAUAUCUUGUUGUACGAAAAUCUGAUUUCUACUAAAACUUUGUCAAGUGGCUCAUUUUUCUUGUACUAAUAUCUGAAUUUUUUUACUGAUUACUGAAAUGUACCUUGUUACUAAAACUUCAUAGGAAGGAGGUCAAUGAAGCAAAAGGCACGAAAAGGAAGGAGCAGCGCCACAGGGACGAUGUUGUCGGCAGCGCUUUGGAAGGAUUCGCUCCAGAGAAGUUACGGUAGUCGGCCAUCGCCCAGGGGAAGCGGGGAGGAUGUCGUUCGAAACGCCUGGGUCUAGAGGAGUGUGUCCAGGUGGUGGCCGAGGAUGGCGACGAGCAAUUGGGUUGAGCAUUUGUCAACGUGAUGGUGUCGUUGCUAAAG